UUUUGUCACUGAUGAGAGAGGCCCUCCAGCUCAGAGAGGAAGCUGUAGGACAAGAAUUUCUUCAACCAGUGCAAGCUUCUGUUUUGUUUUUCUUUUCUUUUUUAGCAGUACUGGUGGGUUAGGUGUUUAUUUUCUAUGGAGUUCUGCUUCUGUUGUGGGAUGUAACGGUGCCUUUUCUGAGCACAAAUGUCCCACUGACCCCUUUCUAUGGAAAACCGCACAAUGGAGUUUGAUGUCAAUCAGAGGAAGUUGGCUAAGACUCCACAAGAAGCCACAAAUAUUGAAGAACAAGGAUAUGAAAAGACAGAGGACACAUCAGAGAAGACGUCAUUGGCUGACCAAGAAGAUGCACGACUCAUAUACCUUAAUCAGCCGCAGUUCACCAAGUUUUGCAGCAACCGUGUCAGCACGGCCAAAUAUAACGUUCUCACCUUUCUCCCCCGGUUCCUCUACUCGCAGUUCAGGAGGGCAGCAAAUGCCUUCUUCCUCUUCAUUGCACUCCUCCAGCAAAUUCCAGAUGUAUCCCCUACUGGUCGGUGGACCACACUGGUGCCGCUGCUCUUCAUUCUGGUUGUCGCUGCUGUCAAAGAAAUAAUUGAAGAUCUGAAACGCCACAAAGCUGACAAUGUGGUCAACAAAAAGGAAUGUCAAGUCUUAAGGAAUGGAGCCUGGGAGAUUGUGCACUGGGAGAAGGUGGCUGUUGGGGAAGUAGUCAGAGCUGCAAACGGGGAUCAUCUCCCGGCUGACCUCGUCAUUCUGUCGUCCAGUGAACCACAGGGUAUGUGCUACAUUGAAACAUCUAAUCUGGAUGGGGAGACCAACCUUAAAAUCAGACAGGGUCUCCAAGUGACGGCGGACAUUAGGGACAUUGAGAACCUGGUACGGCUGUCGGGGAGGAUGGAAUGCGAGAGCCCAAACCGGCACCUCUACGAGUUUGUUGGAAACAUCCGCCUGGAUGGUCACAGCACCGUUCCCCUGGGUCCCGACCAGAUCUUGCUGAGAGGAGCCCAGCUGAGGAACACACAGUGGGUCCAUGGUGUGGUGGUCUAUACGGGACAUGACACUAAACUUAUGCAGAACUCCACACGGCCUCCUCUGAAGCUCUCCAACGUUGAGCGGAUUACCAACUUUCAGAUCCUCGUGCUGUUCGGCUGCCUGCUGGCCAUCUCCCUCAUCUGCUCCAUCGGUCAAACCAUCUGGAAGUACCAGUACGGCGACGAAGCCUGGUACAUGGAUCUGAACUCUCCAGACGGCGGGGCUGCAAACUUUGGCCUCAACUUCCUUACCUUCAUUAUCCUUUUCAACAAUCUGAUACCAAUAAGCCUACUGGUCACACUGGAGGUUAUCAAAUUCAUACAAGCCUUUUUCAUCAACUGGGACAUUGACAUGCUGUAUGAGCCCACAAACACACCUGCUAUGGCCCGCACCUCCAACCUGAAUGAAGAAUUAGGCCAGGUGAAAUACAUCUUCUCUGACAAGACAGGAACGCUGACAUGUAAUGUCAUGCAGUUUAAGAAGUGCACAGUCGCCGGUGUGGCCUAUGGCCAUGUCCCUGAAGCUGAGGACGGUAGUUUUGCAGAAGAAGACUGGCACAGCGCAAACUCGUCAGAGGAGGCUGGAUUUAAUGACCAGAGCUUACUGGAAAACCUCCAAAGCAAUCACCCUACAGCUGCUGUUAUCCUGGACUUCAUGACCAUGAUGGCCAUCUGUCACACUGCAGUGCCUGAGCGCAUCGACGGAAAGAUCAUCUACCAAGCUGCUUCUCCAGAUGAAGGAGCUCUAGUCAGAGCGGCCCGAAACCUCGGCUUUGUGUUUUCUGGACGAACCCCUGACAGCGUGAUUGUGGAAAUACUCGGAAGUGAAGAAAAGUAUGAGCUGCUUCAUGUUCUUGAAUUUACAAGCACCAGGAAGAGAAUGUCGGUCAUCAUGCGCACCCCAUCUGGGAAGAUUCGCCUCUACUGCAAAGGAGCUGACACUGUGAUCUACGACCGUCUGGCAGACAGCUCAAGGUACAAAGAGAUCACAUUAAAGCACCUGGAGCAAUUUGCCACUGAAGGCCUGCGCACUCUGUGCUUUGCGGUGGCAGACAUCAGCGAGUCAUCCUAUCAGCACUGGCUGGAGCUCCACCACCGAGCUAGCACCUCCAUCCAGAACAGAGCCCUGAAACUAGAGGAGAGCUACGAGCUGAUUGAGAAGAACCUGCAGCUCCUGGGGGCCACAGCGAUAGAAGACAAGCUUCAAGAUAAAGUACCCGAAACUAUCGAGACGCUAAUGAAAGCUGAUAUUAAGAUCUGGAUCCUGACGGGGGACAAACAGGAAACGGCCAUCAAUAUCGGACAUUCCUGCAAACUUCUUACAAAGAACAUGGGCAUGCUCGUCAUCAACGAAGACAGUCUGAACGCAACACGUGAAACCCUUAGCCACCACUGUGGGCAGCUGGGAGAAGCCAUCUACAAGGAUAACGACUUUGCUCUCAUCAUUGAUGGAAAGACUCUUAAAUACGCUCUUACGUUCGGAGUGCGCCAGUACUUUCUUGACCUGGCCUUGUCCUGUAAAGCAGUCAUUUGUUGCAGAGUUUCUCCUCUUCAGAAGUCAGAGGUAGUUGAAAUGGUGAAGAAACAAGUGAAGGUGAUCACAUUGGCCAUUGGGGACGGAGCUAAUGAUGUAGGGAUGAUCCAAACGGCUCACGUCGGAGUGGGAAUCUCUGGCAACGAAGGCUUGCAGGCAGCAAAUUCCUCUGACUACUCUAUUGCCCAGUUCAAGUACUUGAAGAAUCUGCUGCUCGUCCAUGGAGCCUGGAAUUACAACCGCGUAGCCAAGUGCAUCCUGUACUGUUUCUACAAGAACAUUGUUCUCUAUAUCAUUGAGAUCUGGUUUGCAUUUGUCAAUGGCUUCUCUGGGCAGAUCCUCUUCGAACGCUGGUGCAUUGGCUUGUAUAAUGUGAUCUUUACUGCCUUACCACCUCUUACUUUGGGAAUAUUCGAGCGCUCCUGUAGGAAAGAAAAUAUGCUGAAAUACCCAGAACUUUACAAAACCUCCCAGAAUGCAAUGGGCUUCAACACCAAGGUCUUCUGGGCUCAUUGUCUGAACGGCCUCUUCCACUCCGUCAUCCUCUUCUGGUUCCCCCUGAAAGCCUUCCACCAUGAUACGGUGUUUGGUAGCGGACAAACUCCAGACUACCUGCUCUUAGGAAAUAUGGUCUACACAUUUGUCGUCAUCACCGUCUGUCUUAAAGCGGGUCUGGAGACGUCAUCCUGGACCACGUUCAGUCACAUUGCCAUCUGGGGAAGCAUCGGCCUGUGGGUGGUGUUUUUCAUCACCUACUCCUCCCUUUGGCCCCUCAUUACCCUGGCACCCGACAUGUCCGGAGAGGCAAAAAUGAUGUUCAGCUCGGGGGUCUUCUGGAUGGGCCUGUUUUUCAUCCCGGUCACUUCGCUGAUCUUUGACGUGGCUUACAAAGUUGUGAAGAAAGUGUUCUUCAAGACCCUGGUGGAUGAGGUGCAGGAGCUGGAGGCUUUAUCUAAGGACCCUGGAGCAGUAGUGCACGGGAAGAGUUUGACGGAGAGGGCCCAGCUCCUGAAGAACGUCUUCAAGAAGAGCACGGUCAGUCUGUACCGCUCCGACUCCAUGCAGCAGAACCUGCUCCGUGAAGACGAAAUCAUUGUGUUGUAAUACGUUUUUGACUUCAUAAAUUAUCCCUAUUUAAGUCUCCACCCCCUUCGUAGCUCCUCCAUAGACGCCUCUAUCUCUCCUCCUCGUAGCUUUAUUUCUCGCCCUCUCCCUGCCGUGUGCCUCCGUGUUUCCCGAGUCGAGCUCAGUAGAGCCAGAUAACCAUAAAAUGUUAUUCCCUCACACUGCACUCGUUUCAGCGGGGUCCUUUGAACUGGCCCACUGGCCGCCAGGCACUGAGCAAGUCAUUUGACACCUGAAGAUGGAUAUGCCUUUUCUCAAGAUGAGAACGGAGUGGUGUCCCAGUCUGAAGUGAUCAGAGCAUACGACACCACCAAGCAGAGGGCCGAGUGGUGAUCCAUCGCCCCUCCUGGACCCAGUCAGACCCUCUGGAGCCACAGCUGCUGUCUCCACAGCAGAUAUUUAACAGAAAGAGGUGUUCAAGCACCGAAGGGAAACUACGGACAAAAAAAGAUGAACUGAGGAGGAUCGUGAAGAUAGAAAAAACAAACAAA